GUAGCUCAGAUUUCGGCUCGGCUCGACUCUCCCACCCUUUGUGACGUACCUCUGUUGCUUUGGCGGCUCCGGCCGCCAAAGGACCUCCAAACUCCAGUCAGUAAACGCAGACGUCUGAUAAACAAGUUAAUAAACUAAAACUUUCAACAACGGAUCUCUUGGUUCUGGCAUCGAUGAAGAACGCAGCAAGAAUUCAUUUU
rnacentral:rRNA from 1 species